UUGGGGCGUCCGUUUGGCUGUGCGGGAUGUAUCAAGUUCGCAGUCACGUCCGGUCAGAAGGGGGACGUUAAAUCCGAUGCCUCGUGUAAGGAGAGUGCCACGCUCUUUGCACGUUAAGAACCCUUGCAACAACUCUUUGAGGGGUCCGUAGGUGACCUGUUGCAAGGCCAAAUUUCUGUCCAUUUCCAAUAUACCCUCAUUAUCCAGUGGCAAUCCAAAUUUCCCCGACCAUUAUUCCAGAUGGCCUCUAUUGUAUCAACCUACC
rnacentral:lncRNA from 1 species